CGAAAUGUUGAACUAGAUGAGUCUCCACGAUCAACGAAGCAGAUAAAAGUAUACCACUCUGGAAGGCGCAAAGCAACAGGCAAACAUCAAGUAUUACAGCAAAGUCGCUGCUGCUCAGGAAUCCUAAGGCGUCCCUCCCCUGUCAAUCCCAAACAUCUGUAUCGGGACCCAAAAGAACGCGUCCACAGAUACCAGCCACAUAAGAAGCCGGUGUAAGAGAAAAGGCACUCUCAAGUUGCAACUCUGAUACAGCACCAGUGUGGCAUAGCACUUAAGGCAUGGGUUACCAAACUGCUGGGUUGAAAUCCAAGUCCUCCAAUUACUUGCUGUGUGACCUUGGGAUUCCAGCAAACCCGGGCAUGCCCUGAAGACCAAUGGCAGGACCCACUGGAGGACUGUUUUCAUGAGAAGCUAGCAUCCUAGAAAAUAAUCCCUUGUUCAGGCAGGGCCAAGGAGAAGCCUGAGACAGCAGGAAGACCCCAUAAGCCACGGAGCAACUAAGCCCAUGUGCCACAACUAUUAAGCCUGUGCUCUAGAGCCUGGGAGCCACAGCUACUGAGCCCACGUGCCCGAGAGCCUGUGCUCUGCAACAGGAGAAGCCACCACAGUGAGAAGCCCCUGCGCCACAACUGAAGAGUAGCCCCUGCUUGCUGCAAUGAGAAAAGCCUGUGCAGCAACGAAGACCCAGCACAGC
ensembl:lncRNA